rnacentral:misc_RNA from 1 species
UGGCUCUCGCAUCGAUGAAGAACGCAGCGAAAUGCGAUAAGUAAUGUGAAUUGCAGAAUUCAGUGAAUCAUCGAAUCUUUGAACGCACCUUGCACCCUCUGGUAUUCCAUAGGGUACACCCGUUUGAGCGUCAUUGUAAUCUCACCUCGAUGGCAUUUUUUUUGGAUGCCCGAGAGACGUGGUGAUGGAUGUUGCCGUGCUGUUUCUGACAUGGCUCAUCUGAAAAGUCUUGGUGCAUCGUCGUGACAGACUAGAGGUGCAUGAUGUGAUAACUAUUACCUCGUCAUUGCAAUCCUCUUAAAGUUCUGGCUCGAUGCGCAUGUGCCGUCCAACUGUCUACUCCCUAGACAAACUUACAUUGACAAUUUGACCUCAAAUCGGGUGGGACUACCCGCUGA